GGUGACCUCGAAUCAGGUAGGACUACCCGCUGAACUUAAGCAUAUCAAUAAGCGGAGGAAAAGAAACCAACAGGGAUUGCCCUAGUAACGGCGAGUGAAGCGGCAACAGCUCAAAUUUGAAAUCUGGCCUUCGGGUUCGAGUAGUAAUUUGUAAGAGAUGCUUUUGGUGAGGUACCUUCCGAGUUCCCUGGACGGGACGCAUAGAGGUGAGAGCCCCGUCUGUUGAUACUAAUCUCUGUAAAGCUCCUUCGACGAGUCGAGUAGUUGGAAUGCUGCUCUAACUGAAGUAUAUGGUUGUCUAAAGCUAAUUACCGCCAGAGA
rnacentral:rRNA from 1 species